rnacentral:miRNA from 1 species
CAGGGACUCUGCCAUGUUCUCCAUU